UGUCCCCUUCUUCUAGGGUUAGAUCAGAUGUGAUGAGAGGUCAAGAGGUGCUGUCUGGUGGCAGUACGAAGAUCUGAUCUAUAUGUCCAGGUUUUGCAUUUGGAGGCAGUAAACUGGAGGCAGCAACUGCAUAACUUGCGAGAUGCUCGUUGGAUGAUGAUCAUGCCGAUGAUUUUACCGCAAGUUAUGCAGUUGCUGCCUCAAGCUUGCUGCAUCCCAAUGCCAAACCAGUGAGACUUAAGGUGAAGAAGUCAUUUGAAUAUGAAAUCAAAGAGAAAAACAACCAUGCAAGAAGCCUUUGUAGUCCGCACAACCGAUCGUAUUAUUACUGAAAGCGAGCAGAGCUUUUUUAUGUACAAUUUAACUUUAUUUUUCCUAGCUCCGUGCUAUCUAUGAGCUAAAGGCACCUGCAAGGCUGCAAUGCAUAUGUAAUCUUGAAAAUGGCAGUCAAAAUGUUUGCAUGCAUGCAU